rnacentral:rRNA from 1 species
AUGAUAAGAGACUUUUGGUGGGGUGAUGAAGAGGGACACGGGAGAGUGCACUGGAUGUCGUGGGAAAGAAUGACAAAACCGAAGAGAGCCAGGGGCAUUGGAUUCAGAGACAUGCAAUUGUUUAGUCAGGCCCUCCUAGAAAAACAAGGGUGGAGGCUUAUUCAAAAUCCAGAGAGCCUAUGUGCAAGAGUGCUCAAAGCAAAGUACUAUCCACAUGGUAACUUGUUGGACAUUGUUCACGUCGGAUGCAUCACCUGUUUGGAGGGCCAUUGA